rnacentral:rRNA from 1 species
UACGAGGGGGGCAAGCGUUGUUCGGAAUUAUUGGGCGUAAAGGGUGCGUAGGCGGUUUGACAAGUCUGAUGUGAAAUCUAUGGGCUCAACCCAUAGUCUGCAUCGGAAACUGUCGGGCUUGAGUAUGGGAGAGGUGAGUGGAAUUUCCGGUGUAGCGGUGAAAUGCGUAGAUAUAGGAAGGAACACCAGUGGCGAAGGCGACCACCUGGACUGAUACUGACACUGAGGUGCGAAAGCGUGGGGAGCAAACAGG